AUGUGUGAGUUGUACAGAUGCAUCCACCUGUGUGUCUGUUGCAUUGUGUUUGCUUGCAUGCCCAUUGUCCGGACAGGUGUUGUAGUUGUGUCCAUGCCUCUGUGUGAGCCUCUGUCAGUGUCUGUAGCUGUGUGUGUGUGUCUGACUGAGUGUGUGUUUGUGUGAAUGUGUGUGUGUGAGUAUUGGGCGCUGGAGGUCAGGGUCAGGGUUUAAGUCACUCACAGUUAGCACCGGCUUCUUGACUCCUUGUGCUGGUUCCUGUAAGUCCUUAUAAGAAGCAUGUGGGUCCCAGCUGCCUUGCUAGCUUUCAAGCUGGAACCACAGGGCGAGGAAGGCAGGAGUGGGCUGUGCCCGGAAUCCACUCCUGGUGACACGCACAUCACAACUGCCAGCCUGCCCUGGCCUACUCCUAAGCCCCAUGACCUUGCCGGCCAGGAGUCGUUUGAUCCAGGACAUGGCUCCACAUCGUGUCACCACUUCAUCAGCUCCCACUAACUACAUGAAGGCCAUUUGUUUAUAACCCGGCCUGAUUCGACCCGUCCCCAAACAAGCUUCGGGUAUAGGAAGCCUGUCUCGUCGCCGUUCUUGUGAUGUAACUGGGGAAGGCGGGGAAGGUGUGGGGAUCGGGAGAUGGGUAAAAGGGCCACAGGGGCCCUUGGAUAACCUCUGGUCCAGUCCCCACUCUUAAAGGUGAGGACACUGCGCCCAGAGAGAGCAAGAUCCUGACCUGAGGCCACAGGGAUCCUGGAAAAACUAGCACUUCCUACAGAGAGCUGGGUGGCCCCAGGUUCAUGGUCACCGGCGUCAGCCACUCAGUCACUCCACAGACGUGUGCUGAGCUUCUAGUGCUAAGCCCUGGGAUUCUGGAUGAGACAGGCACAGCCCCUACUCCCAUGGAGCUUCUACUCUAUUCAGAGAGACAGACACUAAACAAAGGAACAAGACCAUGUCAGGCCGUGCUGAGGGUUUGGAAAUACAAGCACACCCUGUGACACAGGAGCGCCGCUCUGUCUAACACGGCAGCCACUAGCCGCUUAAGUUUCAGGGAAGUGAAACGGAAGUGUCUCCAUCUCAUAGCCGCAUUGCAGGUGCUCACUGGCUCAUGUGGGACUGGCGGGUGCGGUGCUGGCAGCACCGAGCCUGUGUCAUUAUCUCCAAAAGCCCCUGGCAGCGCUGGCCUGGAGAGCGACUGGGAGGAGGGGUGUGGGACGCCACGCUGGUGACACCGUGCUGUCCUGAGGAGAGGGAACCAGGAUCACGGUGCUGGGCCGGAGGGAGCAAUGGUGCAGAGUCUAAUGCCAGCUCCCUGGCUGCUGUUGUCUUGUUCCCUUCUGCACACCCGUGGCUGAAGCUGCUUGGCACAUGGGAGAGGCUCUCUGAGGUUCCAGAAUGAAUGUGCGGCCCAGGCUCCGCUUCCUGCCCAGCCCCCUGGACACUCCCCCACCUGACACCCCCCUGCCUCGCAUCUGGGGUGACUGCUGCUCGCUCAGGAGCACUUGCCUGUGGUGCGCCAUGGUGGCCCGGAGCUCAGGGUCACCAGGAAUGAAAGGCAGGUGAAGGCUUGCCCUCUGUGGCCUCAGCCUGGCCUGCUUAUGGACCGCACCCUGGGCGUUUGGUGGCUCCACUGCCCUCCCGGGUGCACUCGGCCCGGCCCGCCCGGGGCCUACCUCAGCUGGCAGGACCAGCCGCCUCCCUGCAGAUGCAGCUCAUUGUCAGCAACCUGCCCAGCUUCUUUCCUGAGCAGCCCCGCCCAAGCGAGCCCCUCCCACUGAGGGCGGCUGGAGAGGUGCUGGAGGAAGGCGCCGCCUCCCUGCAAUGGUCUGACAGCUCCAGAACCAAGGACCAGGGUCCCCCUCACUGUCAGAUUCGAAACACACAGACUUACGGCUUUUAAAACGAGAGAGUGAACUGAAUACAUGCUAUGAAAACACCAUCUAUAGUACCUUCCCAGGUCCUGACGCUCCGGGCACUGACUCAUCUAACCUUCGCACUCUGACGGAAGCAUGGCCAUCAGCCAUUUCAGACGGAGAACCUGAGGCCUGGGCGACUGGCCACGCUCCCAGAACUAGCGAGUGGGGGAGCAGGCCUCACUCCCAGCGUCACCCAGGCCCUCCUUGCUCUUAAACCAGUGCAUCCAACAGCUCUCAGCGACGUGGAGGACCCAGACAUCGCGCCGGAACCCACGCAGGGCCCAGAGGUUCUCCUGACUGUAGGUGGAUUACCUCCCCUGACGAGGCCUCCGUUUUCUCAUCUCAGAGGCACAGGGUCACCAUGCCCCCCCAAUGCCCCAGCGGCCGGUGGUUGUGACGUGAACCAGUGCCGGACGCACACUGUGCCGGCCGCCCUCAGAGCAGGUGUCCGGCGGUUAUUAGUGUGACCCCCUUCUUGAUCAUGUUCCUUCGGAAGAGACCACAUCAAAGUCACCUGCCCUUCCACAGGGGCUACGACAGAACUGGCUCAAAGACCUUUCAUCAACCUCGUGACACAGUGUGUGGUGACAGCUGGAUGUGCCGGCUCCAGCUGUGCCAGCGCUUUGUGCGAGGAGACUGCUCGGGAGAACCUGUUAACGCUGAACAGGCGCGCCCAGUGACAGAGCCACUGCCUUCCUGGGCGGCGCCCCCACAGGAAUGGGCGCUUGAGUCCGCCUCGGAGACAUACAGAGCUGCUGAGUGGCUUUACCUGUUUCCCAGAGCUGGGAGCGGGGGAGUGCGAUAUAUUCACACCAUGGUGUGUUUCCACACACUCACACUCACAUUGGAAAAUGAACCGCUAAUAGUGCAGCCACAAGAACCAAGGUCAGAGACAUGAUAUUGAGGGCAAGAAGCCAAACCAAAAGCCAUACACAGGCUACGUGAGUCCAUUCACAAAAAUGCCAAGAAGAGACCAAUGAAUCGCGGUGCUGUAAGCCAGAUGCAGCUGCCUCUGUGGCGGAGGGCGUGGUCGGGAAGGGCACAGGCCGCCACUAUCCAUAGUGAAAACUGGGUCACACCUGUGUGAGAAUUCACUCCACACAUAUUUACUAAGUUCUCCGUGUGCCGUGGCUGAGCUGGCUCUGCAGAGGGAGCAGGACAGGCCUGGCCCUUCGCUCCCGAGUGGACACUGGUCCCUGCGCUCCCUCAGCACAGCGGCACUGGGCCUGCCCGCGGCACAGCUGGUGAAGGCUCUGGCGGGCCCCACGCCAGCCUUGCUGGCUGCUCCAGAGGGCCUCCCCGGCAGCAGCCCUCUGUGCCUGUCACCACUGGAGGGGCAGAUGGGAGUGAGCUCCUGAGUGAACCCCAGCUUCCUGGACUCGCUGUGGGGGAGCCGGGGCGUGGCUGCCAUCCCUCAGGGCCGUUGGAGGAGAGCCAGCCCUCCCCAGCCGCCUCGCCGAGACUCACAUUGGCCCCCCUCCCCCAUCUCCUUUCUCACUCUCCUGCUGCUGCUUCUUGGGACCAUCUCCCCCCACAACGACAUCUCCCCAAAUCCUUGUCUCACAACCUGCUUUUAAGGAAACCCACCUGAGAGCUGCCAUUGGCCACAGGGUGGGGGACCAGGACCUGGGGGAGCAGGACCAGGGGUGCGGGCCCAGCUGCCCCCAGGACGGCGAUCCCCACCUUUUCCCUCUCACGGCGCACGGACUGAUCACUGACUCUGCGGCACACCAAAGCGUAUAUUUUUUGCUGAUCUGACAAAAAAAAUGUGUAACGUGGAUGCAUUCCCACCAGAUGCUGUUGUAUUGGCCUUUCUUAUCUGACGACCUGGGGAAAGGGGUCAAUGCCCUGACUGCAGCCAGGUCUGCGUGUUUUACACACUCUUGCAGCACAUCGUGUGCCACAGCUGCCGGCGGAGGUCACCGCUCAGGACAGCCGCCGUGGAGCUGCUCAGUUUCUGGAAGAUUCUGCAGAGAGCAGGAGGCCUGGCUGCGGCCUCCGCUCGGCUCCGACUGCCCUCCAGUUCCGAGUCCCGAGCCCGAGCCCCUCUGUGGCCACAGGCACCUGGGCAGGAGGUCUAGCUCUCAGCAGGGCCGCACACUGGUCCUGGCCCAGGAGAGGAGGCACGUGCACCGAAGGAUGGAGGCAGGUCACCACAGGGCGGCCGUCCAGAGCGCCCCUCCGAUGGCCUGCUGCUUUCCCCUCCCCGAGCGCCCGACACACCCCGCGCUGGCCCGACGGGACUCUGACAGCUCGCGAGCACCGAGGCCAAUGGCUUCCCGAAGGUCUCUGAGCUGCCAGCCUCCCGCUGCUCCCGUGGCCGCUGGGCUGUGGCCUUUGCAGGGACGGGCGGACUGCCCCGGGUUCGGUGUUGGGACGCAGGGCCCAGGCAGUGCGGGUGGGAUUGGACGUCUGGGUGCAGGGGCCGAGCCCUUGAGGGCCAGGGCAGGGCUGCCGCCUGGCUCCAGCAACCGAGGGGCUCAGGUCUGUCCUGCGUGCUGGGAAGCCUCCAGCUCUGCAUCAGCAGCCACAGGAAAGAGAAUGGCUCCUAACGGGGUGGGCCUGGCAGAGGGGACCAGGCCUGGUGAGGGCACGAGGGCGGGCCUACUCAAGUGGCUGGGCGUUUAUACGAGGGAGAUUUGGACGCACAGGCAGACAUGCACGGAGGGAGGGUCAUGUGAAGAGACCAGGGAGAAGGCGGCCGCCUGCCAGCCCAGCAGAGAGGCCCUACCAGGCCCUCCUGUCCCGGCCGCAGGAGGAGCAUCUGCGGAGGCCUCGACUGGGCCUCCACCCAGUGAGUUCCCGACUUGUGAGCUGCAGUCUGCGGUCUUCGUUCACAGCCCUGCGAGCAACACGUCUUUACUGAGCCACACAGCUGAGCGCUGAGCAACGCAGGCCACUUCCACACAGGUUUUUUUUCAAUAAACAUUGGACUUUGUUUUGGAGAUUUGCAAUAAUUUGAAAAAACUCAGACAAACUGUGUGGCCUAGAAAAAAAAUUGUGAAAAGGGCAUGUCAUAAAAUAACAAAAUAUAUCUAGAUACUAGUCUAUUUUAUUAUUUACGACCAUAAAAUACACACAAAUCUACUCUAAAAAGUUCAAAUGUAUCAAUAUUUCACACAAAACCGCAGACCGUCCAUGGCACCACCCACAGCCAAGAGCAGUGGGGACAAGCGUGGGCUGCGGCGGCAAGUCCCCUGCGAGCCUCAGCCGGCGCUGGCCCUCGCCACGCGCGCGCUCCGCCUGCCCAGCAAACUGCGUGUUGCAGGAAGUGAUCUCUCCGAAGUCCUGGGCAUGUUCAUUGUGCUGUGCAAUGCCAUGGCCCGGGAACGGCACCGUGGGACCCAGGGGGCCACUGGGGCUGCGGGGAGUGCCCCCACGAAGCAGAGGAAAGUCCGCAUGUGACAAGGAAAGGCUGGCCCGCUCGCCAGGCACGGUGGGCUGACGUCUGCGGCGCUGGCUGCCUGCCAGCUCAAGGCGAAUGCCUCCGCCUCGGCCCCGGGCGCGGACAGCCGUGCCCGGAGCCGUUGCCGCAGCUCCACAGCCGGCGCCAAAGCCUGGCGCUUUCUGCAAAGCACCUUGUAACCUCUUGGGAAAUGCAGCCUUUAUGUGGGUGCUGGGUCGCUAUGAGCAAGGCAUACCUGUAGCUAAUAAGAUGUGGAAAAAAGUGAAGUCGUUAUUUGACAACUUACAGCAAAAGGAAGGGAGGAGCGGGAGCUGAAGAAUACACCCAGCAAAGGGUUGAUUAUCUUAGAAACAGAUUUGGCUUAAAAGACCUCAGAUAGCAGGAGAAGCAGUUCUGCCAACCAGGAGGCAGCAGGCGGGCCCCCAGCUGCCAUGAAAAAAACCUGAGCAGGUUAAUGGGCGUGCCUGUUCUGGGCGCGGGACGGGGCGGCGGGGAGACCACCUCAGACACGGAUUAGUCAGUAGGGCGAGCACCUGGGCUCCAGGAGGAAGGAGUCGACUAAGUCGGCUGUUUCUGCACAAGCAGUGGGCGAUGGCCAGGACGGCGUGUCCACGCAGCUGCUCAGCGAGGCUGCCGGGGAGGAGGCCUGGCCCGCGGAGCCCUCCGCAGUGGCCCCCGCGCUGCUGUGCCCGAGUCAGGAAGCGCCUGGCCGGGAAGCGCCUGUGGGAGUUGUUUGGGCAUUGGACAAGGCCCCACCGGCCAGAACCCCACGGGGUCCACACCAAAGGCAUGGGCGUGGGGCUCGUACCCUGCACAGUGUCUCUAGUUCAGCCUCCAGAUGAGGGGCCGUAAGGAUCUUUCGGGCUCAUCACACGGACUCUCUGGGAAGGAUGAGGACUGUCCAUGCCAGGAAAGAGAACCCCAGCAGAGAGAACAUCGUGGAUGUCGGGCAGGAUCACACACUGAAGAUGCCACUGUUGUUCUAGAAAAGUCUGUGGAAACCGUCAGGCCCCAAGCAGCGCGUUCCUGCUGGCGACGCUGCGUCCAGUGCUGUGCCCGACUCACAGGGUCUGCGAGGAGCGGCCAGGAAGCCAUCAAAGGGGAGGGGCGAAGGCUUUGAGCAAAAUAAAGCUAUGGGUCUUGGAGAAACUCAAGAGCUAGCAGAUGCCACAGCAGAGGGAUUGCCAGGAGGGACUUGACGGAGGUGAGUGCUUCAAACCACUGCGGACAGUGAGGAGGGCACGGAGGGCAGCGCCGGGAAAGACCCGACCCCGGCAUCCGGCAGGAGGGCGCUGCCCGCUGGAGACUCCUUCUCUGCCAUGCCCCCGCGGCACGGCCCGAGCCUAAAGCACAGGCAACACAUGGCAAGGGAGGGGGGCACCGCAUGGGAACGUUUCUACAGAAAUGAAAAGGCAAAGGAGUCAGACAGCAGCUGUGAUACCUUCCCAUCAAGUUACGCGGCCCGUGCCUGCCUCUCUGCCUCCUCCUCCUGCUCAGCUGCUCCACGUGGGGCCCGCCUCGUGAACGCCAGAGUCACCCUGCCACGCAGGGAGCAACGUGUCUGCUGUGCGUGUGUCUGUGUGCGAAGCAGGCGGAGCGUGUGAGAUGGCCCUGCAUCUCGUCAUCUUCGCCUAAGGAUCCCCCACGUAGAGUAUUGUGUGCAGGACCUGCACGGAAGGGGUAGAGUAUUUCUACAUAGACACAUGGCGGGUGAUGUUUAAUACAGAAUUAAGAAUGUGUUAAUUUUCUUACUGUUUUAUAACUUUGUUUUCAAAGAAUUACAUUACUGUAUGGUCUCCCCCCCCCCCCCCC